UACGAAGGGGGCUAGCGUUGUUCGGAAUCACUGGGCGUAAAGCGCACGUAGGCGGAUUGUUAAGUCGGGGGUGAAAUCCUGAGGCUCAACCUCAGAACUGCCUUCGAUACUGGCAAUCUCGAGUCCGGAAGAGGUUGGUGGAACAGCUAGUGUAGAGGUGAAAUUCGUAGAUAUUAGCUAGAACACCAGUGGCGAAGGCGGCCAACUGGUCCGGUACUGGACGCUGAGGUGCGAAAGCGUGGGGAGCAAACAGG
rnacentral:rRNA from 1 species